GACGAACGCUGGCGGCGUGCUUAACACAUGCAGGUCGAGCGGUAAGGCCCUUUCGGGGGUACACGAGCGGCGAACGGGUGAGUAACACGUGGGUGACCUGCCCUUAGCUCUGGGAUAAGCCUGGGAAACUGGGUCUAAUACCGGAUAUGACUCCAUGACGCAUGUUGUGGGGUGGAAAGCCUUGUGCGGCUAGGGAUGGGCCCGCGGCCUAUCAGCUUGUUGGCGGGGUGAUGGCCUACCAAGGCGACGACGGGUAGCCGGCCUGAGAGGGCGACCGGCCACACUGGGACUGAGACACGGCCCAGACUCCUACGGGAGGCAGCAGUGGGGAAUCUUGCGCAAUGGGCGAAAGCCUGACGCAGCGACGCCGCGUGGGGAUGACGGCCU
rnacentral:rRNA from 1 species